rnacentral:rRNA from 1 species
AUGGCGGCGGCGGGUGCGGCGGACGGCGACCAGCGGUGGCUCGUGGAUUGCCUGACGGCCACCCUCGACACCGCCCGCGAGGUCCGCGCCUUCGCCGAGGAGUCGCUCUGCCAGGCCUCCCUCCAGCCAGGAUAUGGAGCUGCCCUCACGAAGGUCACAGUCAACAAGGAGGUCCCAUUUGGGCUACGUCAGCUAGCUGCUGUUUUGUUAAAACAGUUCAUCAAGCAGCACUGGGAGGAAGACGAAGACAAUUUUGUGCCUCCUGUUGUUUCUGCCUCAGAAAAGGUUGUUAUACGUCAACUCCUUCUUACCUCACUGGAUGAUUCUAAUGGGAAGAUUCGUACUGCCAUUGGCAUGGCUGUAGCAGCUAUUGGGCAGAAUGAUUGGCCAGAAGACUGGCCUGAGUUACUUCCAUUUCUCUUGAAGUUAAUUGGUGAUCAAAGCAAUGGGAAUGGAGUUCGUGGAGCAUUAAGAUGCCUAGCCCUUCUAUCAGAUGAUUUGGAUGAUACUUGUAUUCCCAAACUAGUGCCAGAGCUAUUCCCAUCAUUGUACAGAAUAAUAUCAUCUCCACACCUGUAUGAAAAUUCUCUUCGUUCAAAGGCUCUUGGAAUAGUCCAUUCGUGUAUUUCCAUGCUUGGAUCAAUGAGUGGUGUUUACAAGAGAGAGACUGUCAAUUUGAUGACUUCAAUGCUUGAUCCACUUGUGGAGCAAUUCUCUAUAAUUUUAAAUUCACCGGUGCUGUCCCCAAAUCCUGAUGACUGGAGUAUGCAGAUGGAGGUGCUGAAGUGUUUACUCCAGCUUAUCCAGAACUUCCCUAGACUACCUGAAGCUAAAAUUUCUGCUGUUCUUGGGCCUCUGUGGCAGACCUUUGUUUCAUCCUUCAAGGUCUAUCACCUGUCAAUCAUUCAAGCUUCAGAGAAUGCUGAUAAUGUGGGCUAUGAUUCUGAUGGUAGUGAAAGAAGUCUCGAAUCCUUUGAGAUUCAGUUAUUUGAGCUAUGGACAACAAUUGUGGGAAAUUCUAUGUUAGCGAAGGUUAUUGCAGGAAACAUUAAAGAGCUAGCAUACUACACUAUAUCCUUUCAACAGAUAACUGAGGAACAGGUGCAAAACUGGUCACGUGAUGCUAACCAGUAUGUUGCUGAUGAGGAUGAUGUAACUUAUAGCUGUCGUGUGUCUGGAUCUCUUUUGCUGGAAGAGAUAGUCACUGCCUACGAGGAUUACGGAAUUGACGCAAUUUUGGAAGCUUCACAAGUUUGUUUUCGUGAAUCACGUGAAUUAAAACAAGCGGGUUCUGCCGACUGGUGGAGACUUCAUGAAGCAUCACUUUUUGCUCUAGGUUCACUAUCAGAACAUCUGUGUGAAGCACAGGAUUCUGGUUACAAUGUGCGAGAUUUACUUGAGCAGAUGGUAACUGAUAUUGUGGGAACAGGGGUGCACCAGUACCCAUUUCUUCAUGCACGUGCAUUCUCUGUUGUGGCCAAGUUCUCUUCAUUGAUAAGUAAGGGGAUCUGUGAACAAUAUCUAUGCAAUGCUGCUCAUGCAAUUGCCUCAGAUGUGCCACCUCCAGUUAAAGUAGGAGCAUGUAGGGCACUGGCUGAACUUCUACCGGAAUCUAAUCAAAGUUCGAUGCCAAACAACAUUAUGGGCAUACUCUCAUCUCUUGUUGAUCUUCUGAGGCAGGCAUCUGAUGAAACACUGCAUCUUGUUCUAGAAACCCUCCAAUCAGCCAUUAAAUCUGGUGGUGAACAAUCAACAUCAAUCGAGCCAGUCAUCUCUCCUAUCAUACUAGAUGUAUGGGCCCAACACAUUGCUGACCCAUUCAUCAGUAUUGAUGCUGUAGAAGUUCUAGAGGCCAUCAAGAAUGCUCCUGGAUGCUUAGAACCGCUUGUGUCCCGGAUUCUUCCAACAAUAGGGACAAUUUUAUCAAAAUCCAAGAUCCAGCCGGAUGGACUAGUUGCAGGUUCACUGGACCUCCUGACGAUGAUACUCAAAAAUGCUCCAGCUGCUGUGGUUAAGGCAGUGUUUGACACAUGCUUUACAUCUACCAUUCAGAUUGUUCUUGAAAGUGAUGACCAUGGAGAGAUGCAGAACGCGACAGAAUGUUUGGCAGCAUUUAUAUCAGGUGGCCGGCAGGAGUUGCUUGUUUGGGGUGGUGAACAAGGAAGUACAUUGAAGAUGCUACUUAGUGCAGCUUCAAGGCUUUUAGAUCCAGAAUUGGAAAGUUCAGUGUCACUUUUCGUUGGGAGUUACAUUUUACAACUUAUUUUACAUCUACCUUCACACCUAUCUCCCCACAUUCCGGAGCUUAUUGCUGCCAUUGUGAGGCGUAUGCAAACGAGCGACAUUGCAGGAUUGAAGAGCUCUCUUGUUGUUAUAAUAGCCAGACUAGUACAUCUAAGUGCACCGAACGUUGAUCAGUUUAUCAACCUUCUACUUGCAAUUCCUGCCCAGGGCUACGGAAGUUCAUUGGCUUAUAUUAUGUCAGAAUGGUCACAGCUACAAGGUGAAAUUCAGGGAGCCUACCAGAUAAAGGUAACAACUACUGCGUUAGCUCUGCUCAUAUCUACACGUCAUCCUGAGCUAUCUAGGAUUGAAGUUAACGGACAUCUUGUUAAGACUAGUGCAGGUAUAACCACACGGUCAAAAGCUCGGGUAACUCCAGAUAACUGGACCAAGAUUCCACUCCCAUCUAAGAUAUUCGCACUGUUAGCAGAUACUUUAGCUGAAAUUCAAGAGCAAGUCGGUGAUGAUGCUGACAAUAUUGAUGAAGAGGAUAGUGACUGGGAAGAGGUUCAGAAUGGUGAUGCGACUCCACAGGAUAUAAUGUAUUCAGCAUCAGUUCCUUCGAAUGCUAAUCCGUCAGUGGAGCAUCUAAAUGCUAUGGCAAAAGUUUUCGAUGAGGAUGAAGACGACAGUUAUGAUGACGAUCUGACAAAAAAUGACUCUCUUAAUGAGGUGAAAUUGUUGGACUUUCUAACGAACACCUUUGUCAACCUGUGGGACAGUGAUCGGCCACUUUUCGAGUACCUUUGCCAGGGCUUAACAAAUCCACAACGGGUUGCCGUACAGAAGGUUUUGCGGAAGUGA